rnacentral:rRNA from 1 species
GACGAACGCUGGCGGCGUGCCUAAUACAUGCAAGUCGAACGAGCGGCGGACGGGUGAGUAACACGUAAGGAACCUACCGAUAAGCGGGGGACAACCUCCGGAAACGGGUGCUAAUACCGCAUACUUAUCGAUGGCCUUGCGGUGCAUUAGCUGGUGGGUGGGGUAACGGCCUACCAAGGCAAUGGUGGAUGGCCGACCUGAGAGGGUAAUCGGCAACAUUGGGACUGAGACACGGCCCAAACUCCUACGGGAGGCAGCAGUAGGGAAUCUUCCGCAAUGGGCGCAAGCCUGACGGAGCAACGCCGCGUGAGUGAAGAAGGUUUUCGGAUCGUAAAGCUCUGUUGUAAGAGAAGCGGUAUCUUACCAGAAAGCAACGGCUAACUACGUGCCAGCAGCCGCGGUAAUUC